CAUAGGUUAAUGAGGCGAACCGGGGGAACUGAAACAUCUAAGUACCCCGAGGAAAAGAAAUCAACCGAGAUUCCCCCAGUAGCGGCGAGCGAACGGGGAGGAGCCCAGAGCCUGAAUCAGUGUGUGUGUUAGUGGAAGCGUCUGGAAAGGCGCGCGAUACAGGGUGACAGCCCCGUACACAAAAAUGCACAUGCUGUGAGCUCGAUGAGUAGGGCGGGACACGUGGUAUCCUGUCUGAAUAUGGGGGGACCAUCCUCCAAGGCUAAAUACUCCUGACUGACCGAUAGUGAACCAGUACCGUGAGGGAAAGGCGAAAAGAACCCCGGCGAGGGGAGUGAAAAAGAACCUGAAACCGUGUACGUACAAGCAGUGGGAGCACGCUUAGGCGUGUGACUGCGUACCUUUUGUAUAAUGGGUCAGCGACUUAUAUUCUGUAGCAAGGUUAACCGAAUAGGGGAGCCGAAGGGAAACCGAGUCUUAACUGGGCGUUAAGUUGCAGGGUAUAGACCCGAAACCCGGUGAUCUAGCCAUGGGCAGGUUGAAGGUUGGGUAACACUAACUGGAGGACCGAACCGACUAAUGUUGAAAAAUUAGCGGAUGACUUGUGGCUGGGGGUGAAAGGCCAAUCAAACCGGGAGAUAGCUGGUUCUCCCCGAAAGCUAUUUAGGUAGCGCCUCGUGAAUUCAUCUCCGGGGGUAGAGCACUGUUUCGGCAAGGGGGUCAUCCCGACUUACCAACCCGAUGCAAACUGCGAAUACCGGAGAAUGUUAUCACGGGAGACACACGGCGGGUGCUAACGUCCGUCGUGAAGAGGGAAACAACCCAGACCGCCAGCUAAGGUCCCAAAGUCAUGGUUAAGUGGGAAACGAUGUGGGAAGGCCCAGACAGCCAGGAUGUUGGCUUAGAAGCAGCCAUCAUUUAAAGAAAGCGUAAUAGCUCACUGGUCGAGUCGGCCUGCGCGGAAGAUGUAACGGGGCUAAACCAUGCACCGAAGCUGCGGCAGCGACACUAUGUGUUGUUGGGUAGGGGAGCGUUCUGUAAGCCUGUGAAGGUGUGCUGUGAGGCAUGCUGGAGGUAUCAGAAGUGCGAAUGCUGACAUAAGUAACGAUAAAGCGGGUGAAAAGCCCGCUCGCCGGAAGACCAAGGGUUCCUGUCCAACGUUAAUCGGGGCAGGGUGAGUCGACCCCUAAGGCGAGGCCGAAAGGCGUAGUCGAUGGGAAACAGGUUAAUAUUCCUGUACUUGGUGUUACUGCGAAGGGGG
rnacentral:rRNA from 1 species